rnacentral:rRNA from 1 species
GACGAACGCUGGCGGCGUGCUUAACACAUGCGAGUCGUACGGUAAGGCCCUUUCGGGGGUCCACGAGUGGCGGACGGGGGAGUAAGACGUGAGUAACCUGCCCACAACUUUGGGAUAACGCUAGGAAACUGGUGCUAAUACUGGUUAUGUGCUCCUGCUGCAUGGUGGGGGUUGGAAAGCUCCGGGGGGUGUGGAUGGACUCGCGGCCUAGCAGCUUGUUGGUGGGGUAGUGGGCUACCAAGGCGGCGACGGGUAGCCGGCCUGUGAGGGUGACCGGCCACCCUGGGACCGAGAGAAGGCACCGACUCCUAAGCGAGGCAGCAGUGGGGAAUACUGAACAAUGGGCGCCAGCUUGAUGCAGCAACGCCGCGUGCGGGAUGACGGUCUUCGGGUUGUAAAACGCUUUCAGCAGGGACGAAGCUUUUUGUGACGGUACCUGAAGAAGAAGCACCGGCUAACUACGUG